UGCCUGAGAUUUUUAAUAUUUUGCUUGGAAUUAAAGAUGGCUUUGCAGAACAUUGGUGCCGGCAAUAGUGAUGAUGCCUUCUACAGGUAUAAGAUGCCCAGAAUGAUUACCAAGAUAGAGGGUCGUGGUAAUGGUAUCAAGACCAAUGUUGUCAACAUGGUUGAUAUUGCAAAGACUUUGGCAAGACCAGCUUCCUAUACUACUAAGUAUUUUGGUUGUGAGCUUGGGGCUCAAUCCAAAUUUGAUGAGAAGACUAGAACUUCACUUGUGAAUGGAGCUCAUGACACUGCCAA